rnacentral:rRNA from 1 species
AUACGGAGGAUCCGAGCGUUAUCCGGAUUUAUUGGGUUUAAAGGGAGCGUAGGCGGACGCUUAAGUCAGUUGUGAAAGUUUGCGGCUCAACCGUAAAAUUGCAGUUGAUACUGGGUGUCUUGAGUACAGUAGAGGCAGGCGGAAUUUGUGGGGUAGCGGUGAAAUGCUUAGAUAUCACGAAGAACUCCGAUCGCGAAGGCAGCUCACCGGGCCGGAACUGACACUGAUGCUCGAAAGUGCGGGUAUCAAACAGGAUUAGAUACCCUGGUAGUCCGCACAGUAAACGAUGAAUACUCGCUGUUUGCGAUACACUGUAAGCGGCCAAGCGAAAGCGUUAAGUAUUCCACCUGGGGAGUACGCCGGCAACGGUGAAACUCAAAGGAAUUGACGGGG